rfam:Tolypothrix campylonemoides VB511288 scaffold_1, whole genome shotgun sequence.
GUCAGGGUUCUCUAGUGUUGUGCAAACCCCAUAGCUAGAAGCUAGGGGCUUGCGGAAUACUCCACCUGACCAGACUACUCGUUUAAGGCAAGAGUUAAGGACCCACUUCAGGAUGCUUGCUAGUUCUGAACCCUGGAACCGAACGAUUAAACAAGCUUAUGGAGAAUAAACCAGUGUCGUUUGGAUAGUACCGACCUUAAACAAUGUCGAAGCAAACAUUAC